rnacentral:rRNA from 1 species
GGGGCUUUUUGUAUUCAGAUGUCAGAGGUGAAAUUCUUAGAUUUUCUGGAGACGAACAACUGCGAAAGCAUUUGUCUAAAAUAUUUCCAUUAAUCAAGAACGAAAGUUAAGGGAGUGAAGACGAUCAGAUACCGUCGUAAUCUUAACCAUAAACUAUGCCGACUAGGUGUUGGAUGAUAGUAUAAAAAAUAAAAGUGCCUUAAUAUAACAAUUAAGGUACUUUUAGAUUGCUUCCUUCAGUACCUUAUGAGAAAUCAAAGUCUUUGGGUUCUGGGGCGAGUAUUCGCGCAAGCGAGAAAGUUAAAAGAAAUAAAAGAAGGGC